rnacentral:rRNA from 1 species
GACGAACGCUGGCGGCGUGCUUAACACAUGCAAGUCGAACGGAAAGGCCCUUCUUUUGUGGGUUGCUCGAGUGGCGAACGGGUGAGUAACACGUGAGUAACCUGCCCUUGACUUUUGGAUAACUUCAGGAAACUGGGGCUAAUACCGGAUAGGAUCUCCUGCUUCAUGGUGGUGGUUGGAAAGUUUCGGCGGUUGGGGAUGGACUCGCGGCUUAUCAGCUUGUUGGUGGGGUAGUGGCUUACCAAGGCUUUGACGGGUAGCCGGCCUGAGAGGGUGACCGGCAACAUUGGGACUGAGAUACGGCCCAGAAGCCUACGGGAGGGAGCAGUGGGGAAUAUUGCACAAUGGGCGGGAGCCUGAUGCAGCAAAGCCGCGUGCGGGAUGAAGGCCUUCGGGUUGUAAACCGCUUUCGCCUGUGACGAAGCGUGAGUGACGGUAAUGGGUAAAGAAGCACCGGCUAACUACGUG